UACGUAGGUGGCAAGCGUUGUCCGGAAUUACUGGGUGUAAAGGGUGCGCAGGCGGGAUAGCAAGUCAGCUGUGAAAACUAUGGGCUCAACCCAUAGACUGCAGUUGAAACUGUUGUUCUUGAGUGAAGUAGAGGUAGGCGGAAUUCCGAGUGUAGCGGUGAAAUGCGUAGAUAUUCGGAGGAACACCAGUGGCGAAGGCGGCCUACUGGGCUUUAACUGACGCUGAGGCACGAAAGCAUGGGGAGCAAACAGG
rnacentral:misc_RNA from 1 species